ACGGGUGAGUAACGCGUGGGAAUCUACCUAGUUCUGCGGAACAACAGUUGGAAACGACUGCUAAUACCGCAUACGCCCUACGGGGGAAAGAUUUAUCGGAAUUAGAUGAGCCCGCGUAAGAUUAGCUAGUUGGUGGGGUAAUGGCCUACCAAGGCGACGAUCUUUAGCUGGUCUGAGAGGAUGAUCAGCCACACUGGGACUGAGACACGGCCCAGACUCCUACGGGAGGCAGCAGUGGGGAAUAUUGGACAAUGGGCGCAAGCCUGAUCCAGCCAUGCCGCGUGAGUGAUGAAGGCCUUAGGGUUGUAAAGCUCUUUCAGUGGGGAAGAUAAUGACGGUACCCACAGAAGAAGCCCCGGCUAACUUCGUGCCAGCAGCCGCGGUAAUACGAAGGGGGCUAGCGUUGUUCGGAUUUACUGGGCGUAAAGCGCACGUAGGCGGAUUGGUCAGUUAGAGGUGAAAUCCCGAAGCUCAACUUCGGAACUGCCUUUAAUACUGCCAGUCUAGAGUCCGGAAGAGGUAAGUGGAACUCCUAGUGUAGAGGUGGAAUUCGUAGA
rnacentral:rRNA from 1 species